UAUCUUUCAUUUUUGCCUUUCUAAAAAUUCCAGCAUCUUAAUUCUUUAUUUCUCUAUCCUUUCUUCAUCCUUUUCUUAUACAUUUCGUUCAUCACCUUAACAUACAACCCCACCAUCACCCUUACUUCCAAGUAAGUUUGUUACAGAGGAAUUGUUUACUUCGUUCUAGAUCCGGUACAAUCGAAGAGGUCCUCAAUCGACGGGCUGACUCAUAUCAUAUGGUAAUCAGAGCAAAAAGGUGAACCAAGUAAGAAAUUCAUCUUGAAAAAAAAGAAUUUCGAAAAUUAAAAAAAAACAAAACAAAAUUCCGAAAAUUAAAAUUAUAAAAGAAAAGAAAAGAAAAGUUCUGGUCUUGAGAUGAAGAGAAAUGCUAUGAUCUUGUGUUCUUCAAUAUUGAAUUGCUUUCAGCUUUGAUUCAACCCAAAACGCAGCGUCUUUGAUUGUAUUGGUGACAGUCUCGUUCCGACACACUUGACAGAUUUUGAAAGAUCGAAUUUAGUUCGUAAAAGAACUGACUACGAGUGGAAAAGGCACAUUGAGCGUAUGAGAUUAGAAGGGGAGACAGAAAGAGCCAUUAAAAGUUUCUCCCGAGUGUAAACACGAGUGUUGAACGACAUUUUAAAUUUUCUUUGGAGUGAAUUCGUGAGAUCUAUUUUUCAUUUUUUUAUUACUAAUAAUGUCUUGUACUUCAACAGGCAAUUCUCAUAUUUCAGGAGGUAACGAUCGUCAAGCACCAAACUUGGAAAUACAAGCCAUGACACAAGAGAUAAGGAGUUUGUUUCAAAAGCAUCUUGAGCCAAUCUCAAGAAAAUUGGUCCAAAUUAUAGAACGACGUUCUUGUUCACAAACGCGUCCAACGAAGAUCAAUACACAACUAAAAAGGAGAGACGACAUUCAAUCCUUUUCUAGUUCUACACCUAAUUGCAGUAGAAGAUCUUAUAAAGAGGAUCCCAAUUUUUGAAACAAUGCCAAAAGCUCAACGCUAAGAGAGCCAAGGAAUUUUGCAUGUUUCAAUCCAGAAAAUCUAGCUCGUUUUCAAGAGUGUGUUGACAAUCUCGUCAAAGAAACACAAUUGCAAAGACAACUAGAAAAAGGAAUUGUUUGCAAAAAAGAAG